UACGUAGGGUGCAGGCGUUAAUCGGAAUACUGGGCGUAAAGCGUGCGCAGGCGGCCUCUUAAGUCAGAUGUGAAAUCCCCGGGCUUAACCUGGGAACUGCGUUUGAAACUGGGAGGCUUGAGUGUGGAGGAGGGGGGUGGAAUUCCAGGUGUAGCAGUGAAAUGCGUAGAGAUCUGGAGGAACACCGAUGGCGAAGGCAGCCCCCUGGGCUGACACUGACGCUCAUGCACGAAAGCGUGGGGAGCAAACAGG
rnacentral:rRNA from 1 species